AUUGAACGCUGGCGGCAUGCCUUACACAUGCAAGUCGAACGGCAGCACGGGAGCAAUCCUGGUGGCGAGUGGCGAACGGGUGAGUAAUAUAUCGGAACGCGCCCAGUCGUGGGGGAUAACGUAGCGAAAGCUACGCUAAUACCGCAUACGAUCUAUGGAUGAAAGCGGGGGAUCGCAAGACCUCGCGCGAUUGGAGCGGCCGAUAUCAGAUUAGGUAGUUGGUGAGGUAAAGGCUCACCAAGCCGACGAUCUGUAGCUGGUCUGAGAGGACGACCAGUCAAACUGGGACUGAGACACGGCCCAGACUCCUACGGGAGGCAGCAGUGGGGAAUUUUGGACAAUGGGCGCAAGCCUGAUCCAGCAAUGCCGCGUGCAGGAUGAAGGCCUUCGGGUUGUAAACUGCUUUUGUACGGAACGAACGGUGAGCUCUAAUACAGUUUGCUAAUGACGGUACCGUAAGAAUAAGCACCGGCUAACUACGUGCCAGCCGCCGCCGUAA
rnacentral:rRNA from 1 species